rnacentral:rRNA from 1 species
UACGUAGGGUGCAAGCGUUGUCCGGAAUUAUUGGGCGUAAAGCGCGUGUAGGCGGUUCGGUAAGUCGGCUGUGAAAGUCCAGGGCUCAACCCUGGGAUGCCGGUCGAUACUGUCGGGCUUGAGUACGGAAGAGGCGAGUGGAAUUCCUGGUGUAGCGGUGAAAUGCGCAGAUAUCAGGAGGAACACCAAUUGCGAAGGCAGCUCGCUGGGACGUUACUGACGCUGAGACGCGAAAGCGUGGGGAGCAAACAGG